UUGACGUCAUCUCCCCGCGCCGCCGCCGGGAGUUUGUUCCGCGCGAUGGCGGCGCGGAGCCGAGGGCCAGGCGUCUGGCCCGGGCCUGGGAGCGAGAGAUGACCCGGCUCCUGGGCGCGGUGCACAGAGUCGCUCUGGCCGCCGUGCGCUGCGGCAGCCGCGGGCUCGGCAUGUUCUACGCCGUGAGGAGGGGCCGCAAGGCCGGGGUCUUCCUGACCUGGAACGAGUGCAGAGCGCAGGUGGACCGCUUCCCCGCCGCCCGGUUCAAGAAGUUUGCCACCGAAGAGGAAGCCUGGGCCUUUGUCAGGAACUCGGGGAGCCCUGGAUCGACAGGGCAGGAAGAUAAGCUCGUGCAAGAAUCACAAGUGAGAGCCAGCAAGCGAUGCCGGGAGCCCCUGGCCGCAGGGGAGGAGAACGGGGAGCCGCAGGCAAAGCAUGUGAAGCAGGCCGGGGAGGCGGCCCCUCCGGUGGACAAGGACACCUUCUCUUACAUGGGCGAGUACGUCGUCGUCUACACGGACGGCUGCUGCAGCUGCAAUGGGCGCCGGCGGGCGCGCGCGGGCAUCGGCGUGUACUGGGGGCCCGGCCACCCUUUAAAUGUGGGCAUUAGACUUCCUGGGCGACAGACAAACCAAAGAGCAGAAAUUCAUGCAGCCUGCAAAGCCAUAGAGCAAGCCAGGGCUCAGAACAUCACGAAGCUGGUUCUGUACACAGACAGCAUGUUCACCAUCAACGUCUGGAGGCGUGUCUUCCAGGCAUCACCAGCUGGGUCCAGGGCUGGAAGGAGAACGGAUGGAGGACGAGUGCCGGGAAGGCGGUGACCAACAAGGAGGACUUCAUGGAGCUGGACAGGCUUGUCCAGGGCGUGGACAUCCAGUGGAUGCACGUUCCUGGUCACUCGGGGUUUGCAGGCAACGAGGAGGCCGACAGGCUGGCGCGAGAAGGAGCUAAGCAGGCGGAGGGCUGAGCGGCCAUGCGCCCCGGGACAUCGGUCACUUCCCGUGGGAGCAGUGAGACCGCACGAGGGGAGAGACCCUCCCACGCCCACUCAGGAGCAGCUGGUGUCCUGACUCCCGUGGUGACCUGCACAGUCAUGGGUCCGAGGUGUAAAACUUCCUGGAGAGCCAGCUUGAUUGGGCGACUGCGCUCCCAUUGCUCUCGCUGCAGCCUGGACACGGUGCUGGGACUGGACUCCUGAGGAGGCGCUAAUAAACCUUGGCCAAGCA